ACGGCUCAGUAACACGUGGCUAAUCUGUCCUUAGGACGAGAACAACCCCGGGAAACUGGGGCUAACUCUUGAUAGGCGUAGAACUCUGGAAUGAGUCUUUACCUAAAAAGAUUCACGUUAUCCUCGUGAACCUGCCUAAGGAUGAGGCCGCGACCGAUCAGGUUGUUGGUGAGGUAAUGGCUCACCAAGCCUUUUACCGGUGCGGGCCGUGGGAGCGGGAGCCCGGAGAUGGGUACUGAGACAAGGACCCAGGCCCUACGGGGCGCAGCAGUCGCGAAACCUUUGCAAUACACGAAAGUGUGACAGGGCUAUCCCGAGUGCCAUCCGCUGAGGAAGGCUUUUACCCAGUCUAGAACGCUGGGGGAAUAAGGAGAGGGCAAGUCUGGUGUCAGCCGCCGCGGUAAUACCAGCUCUCCGAGUGGUGUGGAUGUUUAUUGGGCCUAAAGCAUCCGUAGCUGGCUAGGUAAGUCCCUUGUUAAAUCCACCGAAUUAAUCGUUGGAUCGCGGGGGAUACUGCUUGGCUAGGGGACGAGAGAGACAGACGGUAUUUUCGGGGUAGGGGUGAAAUCCUAUAAUCCCGGGAAGACCACCAGUGGCGAAGGCUGUCUGCUAGAACGCGCCCGACGGUGAGGGAUGAAAGCUGGGGGAGCGAACCGGAUUAGAUACCCGGGUAGUCCCAGCUGUAAACGAUGCAGACUAGGUGUUUGGACGGCCACGUGCCGUUCUAGUGCCGCAGGGAAGCUGUUAAGUCUGCCGCCUGGGGAGUACGAUCGCAAGAUUGAAACUUAAAGGAAUUGGCGGGGGAGCAC
rnacentral:rRNA from 1 species